UGGCGUUAAGUGAGCUCCUACAGAAAUCCGGGAUCUGGAGUUCCCAUCAUGGUUCAGUGGUUAACGAAUCUGACUAGGAACCAUGAGGUUGCGGGUUCGAUCCCUGGCCUUGCUCAGUGGGUUAAGGAUCUGGCGUUGCCGUGAGCUGUGGUGUAGGUCGCAGACGCGGCUCGGAUCCCACGUUGCUGUGGCUGUGGCGUAGGCCGGUGGCUACAGCUCUAAUUCGACCCCUAGCCUGGGACUCUCCAUAUGCCGCGAGAGUGGCCCAAGAAAAUGGCAAAAAGACAAAAAAAAAAAAAAAAAAAAAAAAAAAUCUGGGAUCUGCCUGGAAUCCGGACUUCGCAGCCUCAUGCCUGCAGAUGAAUUAAGCCCUGGAGGCCCCUCCCCUCCUUAGAGCCUUAAGUAAUUGCUGCACCCCGACCUCCCAGGGGUCCAGACAAGAAGCACAGGCGGUAAGGUGUCAGAGGUCAUGGUUAGGGGUAUGAUCCGCGGGCAGUGACAUUUGACUUUGAACAUUUAAAGUUCAAAGUCAAAGCAACAAGCAAUGAAAAGUCGUGUAUUUUGCCUUUUGAAAGAAAAUGUAAAAAGCCCACACCCAGCAAUCCAGUGAGGCGUCAUCUGACUCCACGCGGGCCAGAUGGUCUUUUUCGACACCUAUAGUUUCCCGGGAAAUUGUGGCAGCUGAAUUUGCAUGAUGUAGCUACAAAUGGAAUCUGCAAAAUGUGUGUGUUCAUGUGGUUUGGACGUGAGAAUAAUUCCUGUACCCGGUCAUGUCGGGAAGAGUCGAAAUAUUCACUUCCCGUCCCCCCGGGACCAGGCCAGCUCUCGGACCCUGACAGUUGACGGCAGCUUGGAGGCUUAAUGGAGGCCGCGUGACCCAUGGAACGCCCGCAGGCCAGCCACCCUGCGCUCAAGAAAUGGGAGCCGCUGUUAGCAGCAGGACUGCUCUUAGAAAAUGUGCUAAGUAAUGCAUGGAGUGUGGUGUUUCAGAGCCACGUAAUGAUGGUAAAAUACGCUGUAAAUCAAUAGAGGAGGUGGCCUGUGUUUUAACCCUUUGAAUCAGUUUCACUCGUUUCUGUGACUUCUACGAGAGAAAAUAAUGGAUUUAAAAAACAUAGUUGCAGUGUUUUGCUGAGCUGUGGGUUUAUUCAUUUGGUGUUUCAUCCAACGAGUUUUUUUUUUUUUUUUUUUUUUUUCUUCUUUUCUAGGGCCGCACCCGUGGCACAUGGAGGUUCCCAGGCUAGGGGUCGAAUCGGAGCUGUAGCCGCCGGCCUCCGCCAGAACCACAGCCACGCCAGAUCUGAGCUGUGUCUGCGAUCUACACCCCAGCUCACAGCAACGCCGGAUCCUU
rnacentral:lncRNA from 1 species